rnacentral:rRNA from 2 species
GGGUUGUGAGGUUAAGCGACUAAGCGUACACGGUGGAUGCCCUGGCAGUCAGAGGCGAUGAAGGACGUGCUAAUCUGCGAUAAGCGUCGGUAAGGUGAUAUGAACCGUUAUAACCGGCGAUUUCCGAAUGGGGAAACCCAGUGUGAUUCGUCACACUAUCAUUAACUGAAUCCAUAGGUUAAUGAGGCGAACCGGGGGAACUGAAACAUCUAAGUACCCCGAGGAAAAGAAAUCAACCGAGAUUCCCCCAGUAGCGGCGAGCGAACGGGGAGCAGC